GUUUUGAAUUUGCCUGACAGAUGGUCAAAUGUUGUUAUUCAGCACGUGGGGCUCUGCACACUAAGACCGAAUGUCCUUUCCCUGUCCAAGAAAUUUGAAAGUUCCUGUCACCUUCCUAUCUACCAAGAAAAUGCAUACAAGCCAACACAGCAUGGAUAAGGACGUGUAUAGUUCCAAGAGCUACUACAUCCAUCUAGGAGGAGGAAAUUAGAGCAUCAUGGGGAGAGCAGUUCUGGCAAGGGAGCAUGGUAUAGGGAAAUGGCUCAGUGUCCCCUCCCCUCAAAAAAGAAGGUCCUUGGUAUUUCUGGAUGUGAAUGAUAUAGAUUCAAAGACAAUAAAAUGAGUUUGGAGAAGUAAAUGAAGUAAAGAGCCUGGUAUAUUGGGCAAAGGCCACAGGGACACUUUCAGUGAUUUUUAAGUGGGGGAUUAUUUGAUCAGGUUUUCAUUUUAAAGGCAUUGUUCUAGUGGGUUAUGUGGAGGUGGAACUGGGAUUGGAAUGAGGAGUGUUUCAAUUAGCAUUCUUUGUAUUGUAAGUAAUAGAAAGUCAAAUUCAAAUCGGAUUCAAUAACAAGGGAAUUUAUUGACACAUGUAAGUGGAAUGUUUAGAGAUAGCAAGGUAGGUUUGACUCCACAGCUGAAUGACAUCACCAAGGAAAAAUUUUUUUCCAACUCUGCCUUCCAGGGUGUUUCCACUACUUCCUGGCUGCAGGAUGGCUGCCAACAGCUCCCAGGACUAUCUACUUCAUUUCCUAUGAUCAGAGUGAGAAAAUAGAGACAUAAAGAGCACCUCUCACUGAAACCAAAAUUUUGAUCGUCCAUGCCCACUGAACCAGCCACUGGAUGGAAGAAGAUAGAACUAUUCUGAUUGACCAAUUCCAUCUAGAUUUCUCAGAGGCUAGGAGAUGGUGUUACUUCAACCUAGGGGUCCCAGUUCCUCACACCUGGACCAUCUUCAACAUAUAUCUUCCAAGAUGGCUUUGAUUUUUGCCAUUCUCAUCCUUAGGAAGGGGGAAAAUGCAUGCAUUUCCCUGUGUGAGCACAGGACAGCUUAUUGGCCAGCCCAGAAAGACAGCCAAGAGCCAAGUUCACAUCCUAGCCAUACAUUUGGAAGUCCGGAUCCUACCCACAUAAUUUAGGCACCUGAAUGAUAGAUAGUCUUACGUCUUGUAGUCUUUGAAUAAAAGGGGUGCAAAAGUAGCUCUUGUAAGUACC
ensembl:lncRNA